GAUGAACGCUAGCGGCAGGCCUAACACAUGCAAGUCGAGGGGUAACAGGGUAGCAAUAUCGCUGACGACCGGCGCACGGGUGAGUAACGCGUAUGCAACCUUCCUUUAACUGGGGGAUAGCCCGGAGAAAUUCGGAUUAAUACCCCAUAACAUCAUGAAGAGGCAUCUUUUUAUGAUUAAAGCUCCGGCGGUUAAAGAUGGGCAUGCGUGCCAUUAGCUAGUUGGUGAGGUAACGGCUCACCAAGGCUACGAUGGUUAGGGGGUCUGAGAGGAUGAUCCCCCACACUGGUACUGAGACACGGACCAGACUCCUACGGGUGGCAG
rnacentral:rRNA from 1 species